AUCAUUUCCCAUUCUAUGCCAGGUGCUUAGCUACAGCUGCAAUGCAUUAGCAAUUAGACCUGGGCACCAUCCCCACAGAGCUCAGUCCAAUGAGAUAAGGGCCUUUGUCUUGCUCAUUCAUUAGUUUUAAAGGCUGACUUUAAAAGAUGCCUAUAACAUGUGGUUAACUAAACAAAACUCUGUGUGCUAUAGUAUUGCUUGCUAAAAGUGAAGAGGCUGGAUUUCGCUAGGCAAUUCAGAGAAAGUUUCCAAUGGCCUUCAAACAAAAAUAGAGGAACUCCAGGAAACUAUGUGUUCCAUCUUGAAACUAAGCCUGAGGCAGGAAAUGACCAUGAAAGAUGUUCUGCAGGUUAGAAUAAACCUUUAUUUAGCAGAGAC
rnacentral:lncRNA from 1 species